rnacentral:ncRNA from 2 species
CAAUUGAAUAUAAUUGAUGGUGUCUUUUUGAAGACGUAACAGGGAAUUGAGUGUAAACCUCAAGCUGUCCCAGCAACCGUAAUUCGGACGAAAUGCAAAAUACCACUGCUAAUAAGCGGGAAGGUGCAUAGUAGGAUGAAAAUAAGCCGGUAGACCUACCAUUAAUAAUAGUUUUCU